UACGUAGGGUGCGAGCGUUGUCCGGAAUUACUGGGCGUAAAGAGCUCGUAGGUGGUUUGUCGCGUUGUUCGUGAAAACUCACAGCCUAACUGUGGGCGUGCGGGCGAUACGGGCAGACUGGAGUACUGCGGGGGAGACUGGAAUUCCUGGUGUAGCGGUGGAAUGCGCAGAUAUCAGGAGGAACACCGGUGGCGAAGGCGGGUCUCUGGGCAGUAACUGACGCUGAGGAGCGAAAGCGUGGGGAGCGAACAGG
rnacentral:rRNA from 1 species